rnacentral:rRNA from 1 species
AGAGUUUGAUCCUGGCUCAGGACGAACGCUGGCGGCACGCUUAACACAUGCAAGUCGAACGAGAGAAGAGGAGCUUGCCUUUCUGAUCUAGUGGCGGACGGGUGAGUAACACGUGAGCAAUCUGCCUUUCAGAGGGGGAUACCGAUUGGAAACGAUCGUUAAUACCGCAUAACAUAAUUGAACCGCAUGAUUUGAUUAUCAAAGAUUUAUCGCUGAAAGAUGAGCUCGCGUCUGAUUAGCUAGUUGGUAAGGUAACGGCUUACCAAGGCGACGAUCAGUAGCCGGACUGAGAGGUUGAUCGGCCACAUUGGGACUGAGACACGGCCCAGACUCCUACGGGAGGCAGCAGUGGGGAAUAUUGCACAAUGGAGGAAACUCUGAUGCAGCGAUGCCGCGUGAGGGAAGAAGGUUUUAGGAUUGUAAACCUCUGUCUUCAGGGACGAAAAAAGACGGUACCUGAGGAGGAAGCUCCGGCUAACUACGUGCCAGCAGCCGCGGUAAUACGUAGGGAGCGAGCGUUGUCCGGAAUUACUGGGUGUAAAGGGAGCGUAGGCGGGAUCGCAAGUCAGAUGUGAAAACUAUGGGCUUAACCCAUAAACUGCAUUUGAAACUGUGGUUCUUGAGUGAGGUAGAGGUAAGCGGAAUUCCUAGUGUAGCGGUGAAAUGCGUAGAUAUUAGGAGGAACAUCAGUGGCGAAGGCGGCUUACUGGGCUUUAACUGACGCUGAGGCUCGAAAGCGUGGGGAGCAAACAGGAUUAGAUACCCUGGUAGUCCACGCCGUAAACGAUGAUUACUAGGUGUGGGGGGACUGACCCCUUCCGUGCCGCAGCAAACGCAAUAAGUAAUCCACCUGGGGAGUACGACCGCAAGGUUGAAACUCAAAGGAAUUGACGGGGGCCCGCACAAGCAGUGGAGUAUGUGGAUUAAUUCGGAGCAACGCGAAGAACCUUACCAGGUCUUGACAUCGUAUGCAUAGCUCAGAGAUGAGUGAAAUCUCUUCGGAGACAUAUAGACAGGUGGUGCAUGGUUGUCGUCAGCUCGUGUCGUGAGAUGUUGGGUUAAGUCCCGCAACGAGCGCAACCCUUACUGUUAGUUGCUACGCAAGAGCACUCUAGCAGGACUGCCGUUGACAAAACGGAGGAAGGUGGGGAUGACGUCAAAUCAUCAUGCCCCUUAUGACCUGGGCCUCACACGUACUACAAUGGCUGUCAACAGAGGGAAGCAAAGCCGCGAGGUGGAGCGAACCCCUAAAAGCAGUCUUAGUUCGGAUUGUAGGCUGCAACCCGCCUACAUGAAGUCGGAAUUGCUAGUAAUCGCAGAUCAGCAUGCUGCGGUGAAUACGUUCCCGGGCCUUGUACACACCGCCCGUCACGCCAUGGGAGUCGGUAACACCCGAAGCCUGUAGUCUAACCGCAAGGAGGACGCAGUCGAAGGUGGGAUUGAUGACUGGGGUGAAGUCGUAACAAGGUA